UUUGUGUGACUAAAUUUGGCAAGAAUAUGGAUCGGAGCCAGGCUUUCCACGUGUGCUCCCAGCUCCCAGCUGAGAAGGCCAAGGGUUCUCUUCCGGAUGUGGGCAUCUCUGUUACCAGCAAUGCGGUGGGGUGGAUGGUCACACUCGUGCACCCACUGUUGGGAGCCCCUCCACACGGCUCAGCAGUUGUGUUACAAGGCCAUGACAACCAUGGCGGCGUUUGCUACCCCCACGGGGGUGUGAUGAGAGAUGGACCGUUCCCAGGAGAGAGGGAGUACACCCUGCCCCGUGUUCACGGUGCGCUCUUAACGACCUCGCAGAUGUGGCCUUUUUGAAAUUCAAGUCCUGGCCAAAAGAGGAACACGGACCGGACACUGAGGAUUCUGUCUUCUUUGAAGGGGUGCGGGUAGAGAGGAACUGAAAAUACUCGAGGAAAACCUGGGGCCCUCUGCUGAAGGAAUUAAGCUCCGAGGACACCAGCGUGGCUAAGGGAUUUACUGUUUUUUAAGUGUAUUUAUCUAUUUCAAGACAGAAACAGAGACGACGCCACAAGGGUCCUGAUUCCCCCACGUGGCGUGGGCACACAUGAGCUGGCCUCCUCAGGAAGGUCUCUGGACAGCAGCCCGGACCCUCCCCGCCGGGGUCCUCCCUGUGCUGUCAGGCCCCCAGGAUGCACUGAAGCAGCUGUUUCCCAGAGAUCAGAGUCCCCAGUGGGUAUGGGAAUGGAGGAGUUUCUGCAGUCCUGGUAAACGCAUCUCCCACGGGGCCUGGAUCCUAUUCUCGGCCCCCUGGGCUCUGUCGGCGUUGAGAAAGCACCUAAUCCCGGUCUGAGGUUAGAAGCCAAAGCCACAACCUCCUGGCCUGCAGGCGAGAGCAGCCCCCAGAGCCUGCGGAGAUACAGCGAGCGGGUCAUUUGUCUUCCUGUGGCUCUGCGUAAAUCCAGCUGCGUGGUUGCAGCCUGCCUUUGAUGUGUGUCAUCUGUACAUUUUAGUGCUCCAGGAAAGUGCCUGUCAGGGUCUACGUCCAACGCCCACAGAACGCACCCACACGAGCACAGUGAAGCGUGAGUGGAAUAAUGUUCCAGAGAGUUCCAUCAGAGUAAACAGACCAACCUGGAGGGUCGGGAAGAGCCUCCUUUUUCUUGAGACUUGACUUUUGGGCAUCCUUGUGACUGGCUUCUAUUUGUUUCCAGCCGAAGCUGGGAGCAGCUCCCAAUCUUCUUUUACCCUAGAGGUGGGACUUGGCCCAGGCCACAUUUGACCCAGAGGAUGCUCUGUUUUGAAGUACUUCUGUCCGUAAAAACCGACUCACCAACUGACCUUAUCUUUACUGGUGUCUACAUUUAUCCGGGACACGGCCCGUUUCUAGUUCUCUCCUGAACUCCGUUUGGCUUGUCCAGCCAUGCUCAAACUCACAAUUAACAAUGUUCAAGAGUGAAUUCAGAAAGCAGAGAGAGCCGAUGCAAGUAGUGUAGGCUACCACCACCAUCUGGCCCGCUGCGCACUUGUCUCGGGUGAAAACGAGCUAAUUUGCUUUAUGUGAGUGUGACGUACGGGUCUUGCCAGCCAACCUGCCAGUUACAGCACUCCAGCGCCCCCUUAGGAGAAGUGGCGGGAGCCCUGGAGCAGAGCUGAGUGGGCUCCCGGAGGCGGUCAUCCCUGCCAGUUCAGAUAACUAGACUCCCAACCGUAAUUCUGGCUUGAGUUAUCCGGAUACUUCAUCUUUUCAGUUCCAGUUCUCUGCAUAAUUCAAAGGUUGUGUUGCCUGGUGGUGUAGGAACCGCAAGUCUGAUGGUGGUGGAGUUGCACCUCGCUGAGGCUCUAUCCUCCCACCCAAGCUCUCCUUGCGCCCCACAGCUGCCUCCUCCCAGUCUCUGCUCACACUCUGGCUGGACUCCAUGCAAGCCCCACAAGGGCUCAGGCUUCCGAGAGCGGUCAAAGCCGCAUAUCACCUCCCCAAGUGGCUCCCAAGCCCUCACCUGGCUUCAGGCUCCCCUUCUUGAUCUCCAGCACAGCCAGCUGCCCAGCCACACCUGCCGUGUCAUGGGCACUGUUGGUCUGUAGUGCCUGCCUGCAGCAGCUCCGGCCCGAGGGGUAGAGGGCUCUGUUAUGAUGCAGUUGUGAAACUAAACAGUUUGGCAUUUCUAACUGAAUAUUGCUGAUAUUUAGAAAAUGUAGUGUUUUUAGUAUAGUCCUUUAUCUGACCAUCUGUGGAACCCAAUUCUUAAUUUAAAUACACAUGGGUUCUUCAUUAAAAAAAAAAAAUGAUGGGGCCAGCAGGAGGCGUGAUGGUUACGGCGCUGGUCUCGUACAUGGCCGACCACAGUCCAAGUCUCGGACCUGGCCACUCGCUUUCUCUCUCUCUCUCUCUCUCUGUCUCUGGUGAGUGCACAUUCCCUAUAUAGAAUUUUAAAAAUAAUAAUAAAUAAAAUAAAAGCAAUUAUUUUAAGAAAAAUAAAAUUAGAGAGAGUAGAAAACCCAUAUUAUGAGAAAACCGCAUAGAUUCAAAAUUGUUUUGCACCAAAAUCAAUGAACUUAAUUACAGUGUUUUACAUAUUAGGUAAGCUAUUGCCACAGUUCUUUGCCUGUAAUUGCUGGGCAACAAUUAGUUCAAGGGUGUUGCUGAGUUUUCUGAGUAUUUUUCUACAUUCUAAGUAAUGGACUUGCUGUACGUUGAUUUUCUGUAUAAUGUAAAUUUGCCAAACUUGCAACUUUCUAAGAGUCGUCCAGCAUCAGAGGUUUCUUAGAAAAUGUCAGAGUGUCUUCAAAAAGUUCUUGGAA